CAUUUACCAUUCAGCUCCUUCUGCGGAGGUUAUCCAAAAAUAGGCUCUCCUUCUGCUUUUCGAUUUCGAAAACUUCACUUAAGCUGGUUUUCUUUUCUUUUGCUUUAAUUUCACUGCUCUGCUUUUUGGUUAAAUUUUACUUCUUUUUUUAUAUAUUUUUUUUUUUUUUCGGGCUAAGGAAGAGGAGUUCUUCUGCUCUCGGGUUUUGAAAUUCAAAUCACAAAAUGGCCCGAAAUCAAUUUAUGCAACCGCUUGCUUUGCUCUCGAUAUAUACAAAUAUAUUUGUUUCGCAUUGAACGCACUUUUAUGUGAAGUUUUAGGCCGACAAUUGAUACACAAAAAUAUGUUGCUUUGUUUGUUUGUUUGCCAGCGAAUCACUGUUGUUGUUGUUGCUGCUUCUGUAGCUGUAGCUGCUGCUGCUGCUGCUGCUUGAUGUUGCUGCUGUCACUUGGGAGUUUCGGAGCGUUCGCGUGCCGCGCGCUUUGAGCAACGAGAUACAACUGAAAACGACAGCGAAACGAAGGCGAAAAGUGGCCCACGUCGCAGUCGCUGCCUCGGCCGACGUCGCUGUUGGGGGGGCAAAGGGGGCAAAGCUUUUACAGUUCGCCAGCAGCAACAACACAGCAGCAGCUGAAGAAUACACCAAGCAAAACAAAGAAGCGAAAAGAGCAGUCGACUCAAAAAUGAGAUAGAGAGGGAUAUACAAAUCAGAAAGGGAGGGCUACACAGAUCAGAAAGAGACGGCCAUAAGAGAGCAUUUUCAGAGAGAGAGAGAGAGAGAGAGAGAGAGAGCUUUUGCUGAACGCUUUUGCAUGAAGCAUUGCAGUUGCAGCGACGCCGGCAGAGCACCAAUUGAAAUUGAGUAACAAGAUUUGCUGAUGCUGCUGCUGCUGCUGCUGAUGUGUUUGUUGCAUGCAACUGCUGCGACUUCGGCGACUGCAAAAGAGGAAAAAGCUGCCUAACCGGUGUUAGAUGCAUUUGCAUCUGUUUUGCACGUUUUUCUUCAGCAGUUUGGCAAUGUAGCCGUUGGCACAUAAAAUCAAAAUGAAAAACGAGCCAAGAAAAAGGCAGCCUCCGCUUCAGCCGAAGUUACAUAAGCCUUGAUUUAGAUGACGGCUUAAAUGUGCAUUUGCAGUUGGAAUUGCAAUUGCCUGGCUUUUCUUGGAUCUGAUUGCCCGGGGACAACAGGACGCAUCGCUUGACAAUUUCCUGCUUUCCAACCACUUUUGAUAGUUUUCCCACACAAAAACCAAAUGACAUCCGCUGGAUAGUUUAAAAUGGAGUCAAUUUGCAAUGAAAGUUUGGCUUUUGAAAGCCUAAACGAGGCUGGCUUGUGGCAAUUACUUAUAAAGAGAAAGCACAUAAGGUUAGGUUUUUUUUAAUUAAUUAAAACAUUCUUACUCAACUAAAACUUGUUUAAAUUUCUUAUAAGAAUAACUUAAAUUGAGGUACUUUACACGACUAAUUAGUCAGUACUAAGCAUGGUUGCGAAUGCACUCCCUUAAUUAGGGUGGACCGUAUUCCACUCACUCGAAAACCGUUAGAGGAGCACUGGCUAAUUUACAGCACGCAACACGCAGCGGUUGAGUGUGUUUUAAAAUCGUAUUAUGACCCCUCCUCGUGCAUUGGAUUCUCCAGCAAAUCAGUACACCACACUGCCCCUGAAAAUUGCACGCGUCUCAAGGGCCGACUUCCUCCAGAAAAGCACUUUUUACCCCAUUGCUGGCCAUUCGCGCAGUUCCCUGCCCUUUUUGGCAUGUCAGGCACGUCUUUACAUGCUGCCAGUUUUGAUUUAAUUUAGUUGCGACUACGAGCAGAGAUGAGGCGCAUAGUCGGGCAACUCGAGUACUUGGUACAGGGAGCCACCAUCGAUCACGCUCCUCCAGCGUCUUCAUCGUUUUCAUUUCAUAAGGCUGGGCAUUGAGAUCAGCCGCAGAUCAGCAGCUCGAGCAAUUUGCCAUGCAACCUCAACCUCAAAGUCCAUCCUCAUCUUCUUCGGGUUGAUUAAGCAGUUAAGUCGGAGGAGCGCUGAAGGUGUUCCCAACAAGCCGUCAAAGUGGCCGCCACCAUGAUGAUCAUCUUCGUCAACUGUGGCCACACUCGAGAGCACACACAUCUCAUCGCCACCACUCCACUCCACUCCACUACACUCCACACCCUUCCGCCUUUUCCUUGGCCCCUUUUCCUUUCCCGGCGAAAAGGUCAACGCAUUCUGCAAAAUCGUGGAGGGAAAUGCCACACAACACCAACUGCCACUGCUGCAACAUGGCAGCGGCGUGUUAAUUGAAGACAGCCACUCCGACGAAGGGGGGCUUAAGUGAAUCAAAGGGGGCUAUAUAGCUAUAGAGCUAUAGAGCUACGUAGCAUUGGCCAGCCUGUUCGAAAUCCAAAACGCUUCACUGAUUUCUGCGUUGGCAGCGGCAGCCCGUCGUAAUGCAAUGGUUGCUGCUGCCACCGCAGCACAUUCGAAGUUGCUUCCUCAUUUCUGCGGCAUGCACAAACUCAUAACAAUGCACAACGAGAAAAAGUGUCAUCAAACACCUAACGUAUUAUAUUAAAAAAGUAAAAAAAACAUUAACCUGUUACUCGUGGAGUAAAAGGGUAUACUAGAUUCGGUAAAGAGUAUGUAAGAUAGAAGAAAGCGUUCCCGACCCUAUAUAAUUUAUAUUUCUAGUCAGGAUCACUAGCCAAUACCAUCUGGUUAUGUCCGUCUGUUUGUCCGAACGUCGAGAUCUCGGAAGCUAGUUGUUUAUGCAAGUUUGUUUAUUACCGUUAAAACCUUGAUUUUGUAGAAAAUUUUAUUGCUUAAUUCCACACGCAAAGGAAAUAUUCAAAAAUUCUCUUUCGUACUCCUUUUUUUAGCUAAGUAAUGGCUAUCUGAUAGUCGAGAAAUCGGAAAGUAUAUUUCUGUCAUUUAUACAUAUAUAUAAUGUAUAAUCCUAUAAAAAUUUUUAACUUUAAAUUGGGAAGCUUAUGCUAUAAAGUUAAGCUCCCCUUCAAUGUGCAGAUUUUGAUGUCUCCCAGAUUUCCCGCCCCAGGUCUUUGUAAUUAUAUUAAAAAAGGCAUUUAGAUAGCCAACUGCAAUCCGUCCAUAAAGUCGCUCUAAAUUGGUGAGGUUUUGGCGUCUUCCGGGUGGCAGUUAGCCAUUAACGACGCGUAAAGUUGCAGCAGCAGCAACAUUAUCCAAAGUGGCAGCAACCCAAACAGCUGCUUAAUCAGGGAACUUGGAUACCCAAAUCCACUCCCCAGUCAGCCAGAUAAUGCCCUGGUACUCGUGCCCGAGCUCGUAUUGUCGAAGUCGUUGGCCAGAAUCGCGGAAGUGCCAAGAAAAAUGCGUGUUGCUGUUGCUGCUGCUGCUGCUGCCGUUUCUGCUGAUGUUGCUGCUGUUGUUGCUGAUGUUGUUAUUGCAGCUGGGCGUUGAACCCAAAGGCGGGUGCACUUGCCGCCGCCGCGGGCGAUGCGUUGUCAACUAUUUGUGGAGGAUUGUGGGGGAAUUCUGGGGAAUGGCGGCGCAUCAUAAUCAUUUAUUUUCGCACUAGACAACAACACAGUGCAACAAAGUGCGCUGGCUAAUUUUAUAAACUUAUUUUCUUCUGCAUCGCCAGUGAUUGUUAUUUUUUCAGUUUUUUGUACUAUUUGUAUACCCGUUACUUGUAGAAUAAAAGGGUAUACCACACUCGCUGAAAAGUAUGAGUAUCUGGUCAUGUCCGUCCGUUUGUUCGCCCGUAUGAAAUCACAAGCCGCACAACUUCCCCUUUCUUACUCUUGAAAAAAUUGUAGAUUUUUUUGAAUCUCUUUAUAUGUUUUGCACUCCCACUAGUUAAGCAACGGGUAUCUGAUAGUCGAGGAACUCGACUAGAUCGUUCUCUCUUGUUUCAGUUUGCAUUUACGUUUUUUAUGACAUUUACUAAGACAUUCUUAUGCCGGGCACGUUGGUUGGGAGGGGGAAAACGCACCGAGGGGCGUCCGCAGUGAUUGACAUUUAGAAGUCAACGUUCGGGUGGCUUUGUUGCUGCUGCUGCGGUGGCUUUGCCGUCAUUGUCUUUGUCACCCACCCACCCAAAGUCCCUCCCCCCUGAUUACCACCCCUUUAAGUGUGCGACAUUUCUUGGCAAUUUAUCGAUGCUUUGGGACGUUAAUUGUGUGGGAGGGGGGGUCUCAUAAUUGCACUGCGAUAUGAAUCAAGUGGGUGUCUCCUCGAUUGCAACUAUAAUUGCAAUUGAGUUCUAUCAACUAAUUAUAUAUAUAAUGGUUAUGACUUUGCAAGCCACAGACAAAGUGUCUUUCGCGGGGAUAUCCCACGAACAAUGACAAUUGCUGCCAUGUUUGCCAAUUUGUUCACCUGUGAUCUUCUCAUUUUAAAGUAAAUAGAUACAAAUUACGCAUAAACUCUCUGGAAAUUUACUGACUCACAAAAAGUGUACAUUUCCUAAGUUGCAAGUGAUGCAGAAAUGUGCCAAUUGCACAGCAAGCUGUGAAUAACGUUUGUUCUGAAGGGUCACGGAGUUCAAUAAACUCAAGAAAAAAUGGAAUGUGGUUAAUGAUUACUUACAGUAUUUUUGAAAGAAGUGUAGAGAAUGUUCUCGAAUUGAUUUAGUAUACAACAAAUUCCACAAUAAUUAAUAUCAUAUAUAUGUAUAUAUAUUCAAAUACCUACCUCGAUUCUGUGAUGUAGUUAAGUUAUUUGUAUAAUUGUUUUGUAUAUCAUCACAAAAUUUGGUUUCAAAAAUAUUUGGAAAAUAAGUGGUUUGAUCUUCAAUAAACGAAACAUAUUAUUCGACAAUAGUUUGAGUUUGGGAGUAUCUUUGUUCAAAUCGCUCGUUUUAAUGCCAAAAUGCGCUAAAUCACUUGCAUUAAUUUAAUUAUACGCUUUGUGUUGUGCCUCAAAUAAGUUUUCAAGCUUUUUGUAGAUUUAGCAAGGCGACAAGGUGAUAAUUGAACUUUAAAUAGAGGGACAACUGCAGCCGCAAUCGGCGGCAACAUCAACAUCUACCGGGCGGAUACAAACGAGUUUCGUUGUAAUUGGCGGACAGAUUGCUCGCGGGGCACGCAUGCGUAGCACGGCUGCAACAUGCGACACAAACGACAACGAACAAUGAGCCGCAACAAAGGUGAGUGCAUUAAUUAACAUUAGCAAUUAGUCGGAGAGAAUAUGUUGCAACACCUGGGGGCAACGACAGCAGAAACAACAACUCGCAGCAGCAGUAGCAUCAGAAACAGAUCGCAACGCAGAUUGACUCAUUCAAGCGGCAACAGGUGCUGGUGCAAUCCGCUUUGUUAUUAUAUUGAAUUGUUUUACGAUCGAUUUUUCAUUUCUGGUUGAACUGUUUACUCAACUUUUCAGCUUAUGCAGCCGUAGCCCGGCUAAAAAUUGUUUAUAAACGAGUCGCACGCAAUAACAACACUUUGAAUACGUAAUUAAAUAAUUAAGCGGCUACAAAUUUUUGGCAAUAUUUUAUUUACUUUUCGCCGUUCAUGUUUGUGUUCUUGCUUUUAUUGCAUUUUGUGUUUGCUGUUGUGGCUGACUCGCUUCGCGAAAAGUCAUAAACACUGCAUUGCCCGGUCUUCUGGGCAAGAAGGGGUACUUCCGGAGGGGAUUUCGGCUGGGAAGUUGGGCAAUGGCAGCGGAAGCAGCUCACCAGUUCAGCGCCAAAGCCAAAGCCACAACGGCAACGAACGACGACUGAAAGUGAAAGGCGCCGGGGGAAUUUCAAAGGAAGCGGAAAGGAAAGGCUGGCGCUCGGGGAGUUCAAUCGCAAACGGAAUCGAAAUCUGUAAGUGUGUUGAACCCGAUGAGGAAAUCGAUAAGAGGUUUAAUGAGAUCCAGAGAGAUAUUCGUGAACUGUAAGCCGCGGGGUGAGGAUUUCAGAUAAAUUUAGAAGUAUUAAUACUGAUACCUUACGUUCUGGGAAUCCCCCAAAAAUGUUUAGAAACU